UAGUCUUUGACUGAGCAGAAGGUUGGAAGUCAGGAGUCUGCCAUAUUUCUGUCUCAGGAGGAGUCUGGGACAGAGCAUGUGUGUCUGGGAGUGUGGGAACAGUGGGGCUAAGAGGAUUGCCUAGAUGACUGAGCUCAGGAGCUCGGAUGGGAGCUUGGCUUCAAAAUCCAGAGCCAGCUGGAAAGUCUAGCAGCUUUCUUGGGUGCCUGGGAUGACAGCCUGAAAGAAUUGAUUCACGGUUUCUUCCAUCAGCACGAAUUGGACGAAGGAGGCCAAUCUUGAGAAUUCUUUACCAAUCCCAGGUCGUCACCUCAUGAAAAGCUGAAAGACAUUGCCUGGAACACCUCUGUUCAGAGUGAAGAUGAUUGUGCUUUACAAGUUGCAGUGUGUUUGACUGCUUUCAGAGAAACACCACAAUUUGAUUCCAGAAAUAAAGAAUUUUAGAUGUUUUCCUUGGUAUUGACUACAGAAGCCACCCCAGUGGAAGCCGCCUGAGCACUUGCUGCCUUAGCUUGACAAGUUCCAGAGCCAAGCUUUGAGCCAUUCCAUCUGACAUUCCCACGUCUGACUGAGGCUGGGAUCUUGCCCGGGAUCUCCUCCAUGCCAUUCUGAUGUGGAAGGCAGAACUGCCUGCUCAAAAGGACUCAUCUUUCUGGAACAGCACCAAGCCUGGAGGCAGACUGGCUUUGCAGCCCUCAACAGGGGCUUCCGGCGGGGCCCGCCAUCCCUGCGGGAGUUCAGGUGCUUUUUGCUCAAUGUGAAAUCACAUUUUAUUCUCUCUAAUUACCAACUGGAUGAUAGAAGUUCUUUGGUUUCCGUUUGUUCAGCUCAG